CCUACGGGUGGCAGCAGUCGAGAAUCAUUCACAAUGGGGGAAACCCUGAUGGUGCGACGCCGCGUGGGGGAAUGAAGGUCUUCGGAUUGUAAACCCCUGUCAUGUGGGAGCAAAUUAAAAAGAUAGUACCACAAGAGGAAGAGACGGCUAACUCUGUUCCAGCAGCCGCGGUAAUACAGAGGUCGCAAGCGUUGAUCGGAAUCACUGGGCGUAAGGCGUGCGUAGGCUGUUUCGUAGGGCGUGUGUGAAAGGCGCGGGCUCAACCCGAGGACGGCACAUGAUACUGCGAGACGAGAGUCAUGGAGGGGGAACCGGAAUUCUCGGUGUAGCAGUGAAAUGCGUAGAUAUCGAGAGGAACACUCGUGGCGAAGGCGGGUGCCUGGACAUUAACUGACGCUGAGGCACGAAGGCCAGGGGAGCGAAAGGGAUUAGAUACCCUGGUAGUG
rnacentral:rRNA from 1 species